rnacentral:rRNA from 1 species
CCUACGGGGGGCAGCAGUGAGGAAUAUUGGUCAAUGGGCUUACGCCUGAACCAGCCAAGUCGCGUGAGGGAAGACUGCCCUAUGGGUUGUAAACCUCUUUUGUCAGGGAGCAACGCCGGCUACGUGUAGCCGGACUGAGAGUACCUGAAGAAAAAGCAUCGGCUAACUCCGUGCCAGCAGCCGCGGUAAUACGGAGGAUGCGAGCGUUAUCCGGAUUUAUUGGGUUUAAAGGGUGCGUAGGCUGAAUGUCAAGUCAGCGGUAAAAAUUCCGGGCUCAACCCGGUCGUGCCGUUGAAACUGGCGUU